rnacentral:rRNA from 1 species
GGUGAACGCUGGCGGCGUGCCUAAUACAUGCAAGUCGAGCGAACGGACGAGAAGCUUGCUUCUCUGAUGUUAACGGCGGACGGGUGAGUAACACGUGGAUAACCUACCUAUAAGACUGGGAUAACUUCGGGAAACCGGAGCUAAUACCGGAUAAUAUUUUGAACCGCAUGGUUCAAAAGUAAAAGACGGUCUUGCUGUCACUUAUAGAUGGAUCCGCGCUGCAUUAGCUAGUUGGUAAGGUAACGGCUUACCAAGGCAACGAUGCAUAGCCGACCUGAGAGGGUGAUCGGCCACACUGGAACUGAGACACGGUCCAGACUCCUACGGGAGGCAGCAGUAGGGAAUCUUCCGCAAUGGGCGAAAGCCUGACGGAGCAACGCCGCGUGAGUGAUGAAGGUCUUCGGAUCGUAAAACUCUGUUAUUAGGGAAGAACAUAUGUGUAAGUAACUGUGCACAUCUUGACGGUACCUAAUCAGAAAGCCACGGCUAACUACGUG